CCUAAACUCUACUCAUCUCACGUCUUCAAUCCCGCCUCAAAGUCGACAAGCCCUAAUCUGUCUCCCAUCUAUUUCUCUCAAAUCGUCGACGAUAAUCUUCAUUUUGCCGUUGCCGAUCAUCGGACAUCCACACUCCAGUGCUAGAAUGAAAGAGGGACCUCAGAAGAGCUGGAAAGAAGACUUGGCUUCCAAUUUAGAGAGAGAAAGAUAGCUGUAAAGUGAAGGCAAAUAUGAGAUCAUUGACAUGUACAGAUACACAAUUUAUAGCUGUCUGUGAAAAAAAUAUUUAUGGAGACAAUUUAUACUAUAUCAAAUAAUAUAAAUUUUUAUCCCAGGUUCUGCGAUUCGUUCGUUUGAAAAAUUAGUUCACUAUGGAGAAAUUACACUGAAAAUGAUAUAUACAGGGGAAAUAAUAUACGACAAUUUCAACAACUAUAAUAUAACAUACCAGAUGAGUAUUGAAUUUUCCAGGCCUUUUCCUAACAGAGAAAUGUAGACUUUUGUUUGGAGGAGAUCAGGCGUGCCUUUUCAAGGGUGCAUUUUAGACGGUGAUGCCAGCAGUUCUUGUCUCUCAUUGUGCAGUAAUUCCACGGUUUACAAAUGCUUUACACAUGAUUUGAGCAUCAUGGACAGCGAAGAAAGUCACCGUCACCACGGUGGCAGUGUAUGCAGCUACGUGUUGCACGAUGGUACUUUGCCUAUGAUCUCCAACGGCGAGUCCCACUACUCGUAUAAACAACACCAGGAGCUGCUGUUUUUGUGGCAAUGACAGUGCCGGCACUGCUUGUUGCUGCAAGGUAAACUUGUGACAACAUAAAGUAGUGUGUAGAAGUGUUAGAAGCUUAGUGUGUUUUGUUCAUGUUUUAAAUACCAUUUAGAUUUGAUAUAUUGUUUGAUUUUUAGAGUUUUACAAUGUUUUGAUGUAUGUUUUAGUGUUGUUUUACAGUAGGUGAAGUGGUGUAAAUGAUGCAAAAAUUAGAGAACAUAGUGAUUUUAGCAUAAAUCAAGAAGAAGAUAACUUGCAAAUAGGCAACAAACACAAGGAGUGAGCGGAAAUAGCAUGAAAACAUAGUUAUAUUACGACAAAUGGGGCAUCCAAGUGUCACAAUCCGAUGCCUUGGCGUCACACAUAGCAAGGUAAGAAAAAUAAUUUAGCAGACUGGCAACCAAGAGCUAAACAAGAAGUUGGCGCCUGGGCGCUAGUCACAUCAUUCAUCUUGGUGCUUAGGCGCCCAAUCAAGGCGCAUAGGUUCCAGUUGCCAUUCAGAUAAGGUUUUGUAUUUUUUUUAUCCGUUUAGAAGUCCAAUUUAACGCCAACUCGUCUAGGGCUUCAACGAGGCAUAGAUACAACCUUGAGGGCAUUUUGAACUAUAGUUAGAUGAGACAAAAGCAAGAGAUCGAGAGGAACAACGAGAAGAAAAUUGAUUCAAGCUCCAAAACAAUUUUUAUUUCUUUCUUCUUUACGUUCUUGAUUGAACUAAGUUAUUCAUCCAAGGUUUGAUGUAAUUGAUGUUUUAAGAUUACUUUUUGAGAUUCAAUAA